AAGAAAAGAUUUCAGAGAUUAAUUUAAAGGUUUUGGCAUGUUAAAAGUGAAGAAGACAAUCCACAGAAAGUUUAAGUAUGUGGCAAAUGGUAUAAAUAUAUCUUAAAA